rnacentral:misc_RNA from 1 species
GUAGGUGAACCUGCGGAAGGAUCAUUACUGAGACUGGGUGCUUCGGCGCCCGACCUCCAACCCCCUGUCUACCUUACCACUGUUGCCUCGGCGUCUCCGUCCACUCCCCUCUCGUGGGGGUGUGGGGGGUGUGCGCCGGCGGCCAAAAACUAAACCCUUUUUUAAACCAAGCAAUCUGAGAAAUUAUUUUAAUAACUUCAAAACUUUCAACAACGGAUCUCUUGGUUCUG